rnacentral:lncRNA from 1 species
AUGUCUUUGGCCCGGAAUUCCAGAGACUCAUUUCCACCCCUCCCACGGAGUCACCUGCUCAGGGGGAACCCCGGCCAGAAAUCCGGGUCGCGCCAGGUCAAAUCUUGCGCGGCUCGUGUUUACUCCGCCCGGGGCAGGGCGGCGGCGCGCCGGGCUGGGGAGGCGGCUGGGGAGGCGGCCGGGGCAGCGGCUCCGCUCGGCACGGCGGCUCGGGCGCCCGGAGGGGCGGCGCGCGGUCCCCGCCGGCGCGCAGACCACCGGAGGAGGCGCCCCGGCCGCCGGCCCGGCCCGGCAGCCGCUCUCCGCGCUCGGGCCGCCGCGGCCUCCUGGGAACCCCCCCCCACCCGCCCCGAGGGCGCACGCGAGUCCACACGUGCAGGGGAGCGGCUCGAGGGAGCCCCGGCGUCCCCCGCGUGUCGCCGGGCCGGGGAGGAAGCCCAGAGCCCCGGCCCCACUCGCCUGGGAUUCCCCGGGCCCCUCGCUUCCCGCGCCGGGGGCACGGAAAGUGCUAGUAAAACGCUUGGCACAGCUCGAGAAGCGCAGCCAGGAGCUACAGUCUGAUUUUGUUUCUGUUGACCGAUAACAUAACCGUGAGUAGAGCCGAGGGCGAGAGCGAGGAAAGGGAUCAGAGGUCCACGGACAGAAUCAUGACCAUCCUAAAUAUUCGGUAAUUCCGUUUGUCAUCAACACAGGGAACGGUUAUACGGGAAAUGGGGAAGAUGGGGGGCGGGGAGGAGAUUUCACAUCCCUGAAGGAAGUUCUCGGGCUCCUAGAGACGCCCAAGUCUUUUUUUUUUUUUUUUUGCAUGACAAGUAGAGACCGGCUCUCGGGGGAGUUCCCCGAUCCGAGGGAGCGUGACCGCGGCCGCGAUCUUCCCGCCCGGAGCGGCCGCGGCGGGGCCCGGCCCUGCCCUCCCGGCCGCCUCCCUCCCCGGCCGCCCGGCGCGCCGCACAUCCCUCUCGCGCUCGCCGGCUCCAGACUGGUUUUUCUGGUUCAGCCUCCCUCCUAGGGACGCGCUGGGGGAUCCGAUGACGUCGCUGGCUGAGUCUCUCCCUCUUCCUCCCUCCCUCCCCCCGCCUCUCCCCGCGCCCGCCCUCGCCGCGCACUCCUCCUAGUAACUUCUGUUCGGGGAGGCGCUGCCAGGAAUAACCCGGUGCGUCCACAGCCCGGGAGGGGAGGCGGCCGCUGCGGCUCCCGCACGCACACUGCUGCGGCCCGGGCCUCGCGGCUCCCUCGCGAGCCCGGCGGCCCCUGCCCCGGGCCCAUCGCCGUACAGUGUCAGAAAAAUAAAUAGAGGAAAGAGGAGCCUGGGCA